GGAUUAGAUACCCUGGUAGUCCACGCUGUAAACGAUGAAUGCUAGAUGUUGGUGGGGCGACCUAUCAGUGUCGUAGUUAACGCGAUAAGCAUUCCGCCUGGGGAGUACGGUCGCAAGAUUAAAACUUAAAGGAAUUGACGGGGACCCGCACAAGCGGUGGAGUAUGUGGUUUAAUUCGAAGCAACGCGCAGAACCUUACCAGCUUUUGACAUGGAACGUUUGAGGACCAGAGAUGGUUUUCUUCAGUUAGGCUGGCGUUCACACAGGUGCUGCAUGGCUGUCGUCAGCUCGUGCCG
rnacentral:rRNA from 1 species